CAGCUCUCGGUGUCCUUUUGGGGAGGCCCCGGGCCCCCUACUCACCUGCAGGGCAGGGCUCCCCAUCCACACCGUUGACACAGGGAAUGGGCACGUUCUCAUAGCCCCGAGCCACGUCCCUGCAGAAGACGGGAAGAAGGGGCUGGGAAGCUGGAAAAGGGGGUGAGGAGCUACUCCAGGUAUAAGGAAGAGAGUUGGGGAGGUUCCUGGGGCUGGGGGCAGGGGAGUAAGGUUGCCAGGUAAGAUGCAGGACAGCGAGUUAACAUAGAAUUUUAGAUAAACAAGAAAUAGCUUUUUAGUAUGUCCCAAAAAUUACACAGGACAUUCUCACACUAAAAAAGUAUGCAUCUGUGCAUCUGAAAUUCCAGUUUAA
rnacentral:lncRNA from 10 species